rnacentral:rRNA from 1 species
GACGAACGCUGGCGGCGUGCCUAAUACAUGCAAGUAGAACGCUGAAGGAGGAGCUUGCUCUUCUGGAUGAGUUGCGAACGGGUGAGUAACGCGUAGGUAACCUGCCUGGUAGCGGGGGAUAACUAUUGGAAACGAUAGCUAAUACCGCAUAACAGUAGAUGUUGCAUGACAUUUGCUUAAAGGGUGCAAUUGCACCACUACCAGAUGGACCUGCGUUGUAUUAGCUAGUUGGUGGGGUAACGGCUCACCAAGGCGACGAUACAUAGCCGACCUGAGAGGGUGAUCGGCCACACUGGGACUGAGACACGGCCCAGACUCCUACGGGAGGCAGCAGUAGGGAAUCUUCGGCAAUGGACGGAAGUCUGACCGAGCAACGCCGCGUGAGUGAAGAAGGUUGUCGGAUCGUAAAGCUCGGUUGUAAGAGAAGAACGAGUGUGAGAGUGGAAAGUUCACACUGUGACGGUAUCUUACCAGAAAGGGACGGCUAACUACGUG